GUGGGGAAUAUUGGACAAUGGGGGGAACCCUGAUCCAGCCAUGCCGCGUGUGUGAAGAAGGCCUUUUGGUUGUAAAGCACUUUAAGUGGGGAGGAGGCUUACCUGGUUAAUACCUGGGCUAAGUGGACGUUACCCACAGAAUAAGCACCGGCUAACUCUGUGCCAGCAGCCGCGGUAAUACAGAGGGUGCGAGCGUUAAUCGGAUUUACUGGGCGUAAAGCGCGCGUAGGUGGUUAAUUAAGUCAAAUGUGAAAUCCCCGAGCUUAACUUGGGAAUUGCAUUCGAUACUGGUUAGCUAGAGUAUGGGAGAGGAUGGUAGAAUUCCAGGUGUAGCGGUGAAAUGCGUAGAGAUCUGGAGGAAUACCGAUGGCGAAGGCAGCCAUCUGGCCUAAUACUGACACUGAGGUGCGAAAGCAUGGGGAGCAAACAGGAUUAGAUACCCGUGUAGUCC
rnacentral:rRNA from 1 species